AGGAAAGCAGGGGAUCGCAAGACCUUGCGCUUUUAGAGCGGCCGAUGUCUGAUUAGCUAGUUGGUGAGGUAAAGGCUUACCAAGGCUUCGAUCAGUAGCUGGUCUGAGAGGACGACCAGCCACACUGGGACUGAGACACGGCCCAGACUCCUACGGGAGGCAGCAGUGGGGAAUUUUGGACAAUGGGGGAAACCCUGAUCCAGCCAUGCCGCGUGAGUGAAGAAGGCCUUUGGGUUGUAAAGCUCUUUCAGCCGGAACGAAACGGUCACGGUUAAUACCUGUGAUCACUGACGGUACCGGAAGAAGAAGCACCGGCUAACUACGUGCCAGCAGCCGCGGUAAUACGUAGGGUGCGAGCGUUAAUCGGAAUUACUGGGCGUAAAGCGUGCGCAGGCGGUUUUGUAAGUCAGAUGUGAAAUCCCCGGGCUCAACCUGGGAACUGCGUUUGAAACUACAAAGCU
rnacentral:rRNA from 1 species